GACGAACGCUGGCGGCGUGCCUAAUACAUGCAAGUAGAACGCUGAAGGAGGAGCUUGCUUCUCUGGAUGAGUUGCGAACGGGUGAGUAACGCGUAGGUAACCUGCCUGGUAGCGGGGGAUAACUAUUGGAAACGAUAGCUAAUACCGCAUAAUAGUAGAUGUUGCAUGACAUUUGCUUAAAAGGUGCAAUUGCAUCACUACCAGAUGGACCUGCGUUGUAUUAGCUAGUUGGUGGGGUAACGGCUCACCAAGGCGACGAUACAUAGCCGACCUGAGAGGGGGGUCGGCCAGACUGGGACUGUGACACGGCCCAGACGCCUACGGGAGGCAGCAGGAGGGAAUCUUCGGGAAUGGACGGAAGUCUUACCGAGCAACGCCGCGGGAGUGAAGAAGGUUGUCGGAUCGUAAAGCUCUGUUGUAAGAGAAGAACGAGUGUGAGAGUGGAAAGUUCACACUGUGACGGUAUCUUACCAGAAAGGGACGGCUAACUACGUG
rnacentral:rRNA from 1 species